rnacentral:rRNA from 1 species
GUACGGGGGGGCAAGCGUUGUUCGGAAUUACUGGGCGUAAAGGGCGCGUAGGCGGUUGGAUAAGUCAGCGUGUGAAACCACGGGCUUAACUCGUGGCCUGCAGUUGAGACUGUCUGGCUUGAGUGUGGAGAGGAGAGGAUGGAAUUCCUGGUGUAAGCGGUGAAAUGCGUAGAUAUAGGAUGGAACACCAGUGGCGAAGGCGACCACCUGGCCCAACACUGACGCUGAGUGCGAAGCGU